rnacentral:lncRNA from 1 species
CGGGGUGAAUCCCCUGGAUUUGGGUAUUUUUGGGGUGAAACCCGUGGAUUUGGAUAUUUUCGGGGUGUUCCUGCCGGAUUUCGGGGUGAAUCCCGCGGGUUUGGAUAUUUUUGGGGGUGUUUCUGUGGGAUUUCUGGGUGGAACCCGCAGGUUUGGGAACUUUCGGGGCUGUUUCUGCUGGAUUUCGGGGUGAAUCCCGCGGAUUUGGAUAUUUUUGGGGGUGUUUCUCUCGUAUUUCGGGGUGAAUCCCGCGGGUUUGGAUAUUUUGGGGGCAUUUCUUUGGGAUUUUGGGGUGAAUCCCGUGGAUUUGGGUAUUUUCGGGGUGUUCCUGCUGGAUUUCGGGGUGAAUCCCCUGGAUUUGGGUAUUUUCGGGGUGUUUCUUUGGGAUUUCGGGGUGAAUCCCGCGGGUUUGGAUAUUUUUGGGGGUGUUUCUUUGGGAUUUCGGGGUGAAUCCCCUGGAUUUUGGUAUUUUUGGGGGUGUUUCUUUGGGAUUUCGGGGUGAAUCCCCCCGUUUCCCGCAGCUGCUGGGCCCGGCCGUGGUGGGCCGCGCGGUGCCCGUCCAGGUCGUGUUCCAGAACCCUCUGCCCGAGGCGCUGCCCUCGGCCUCGCUGCGCAUGGAGGGCGCCGGCAUCGCCUGCCCCAAGCCCGUGGCGCUGGGGUGAGACUGGUUCAUACUGGUU